CAGAGUGCUAAGAACCUUGGCGUGAUCCUGGACAACACCCUGUCGUUCUCCACUAACAUCAAGGCGGUGACCUGAUCCUGGGCUGAGUCACUGGCUUAUUGGUGUUCUUCCAUGCCGUCCCUAGGAGGGGUGCAUCACUUGAGUGGGUUGAGUCACUGACGUGGUCUUCCUGUCUGGGUUGGCGACCCCCCCCCUUGGGUUCUGCCGUGGUGGAGAUCUUUGUGGGCUAUACUCGGCCUUCUCUCAGGAUGCCCUAGGACCAUGCCUCAGGACUACCUGGCAUGAUGACUCCUUGCUGUCCCCAGUCCACCUGGCCGUGCUGCUGCUCCAGUUUCAACUGUUCUGCCUGUGGUUAUGGAACCCUGACCUGUUCACAGGACAUGCUACCUGUCCCAGACCUG
rnacentral:lncRNA from 1 species